rnacentral:lncRNA from 1 species
AUAAACAAUUGCCCGAGACCUCUAAGACUGGCAAGAAAUAAAGCUAACAAGCUGUAAACAAUUUUUCAAGCCAGUAUCAUCUUCCAUGUAACUUCACAAGUGAGCUCUGCAGUUUUUGAACAUGGAUCGAACAUGAUAUUUGCUUAGUUCUGGGCAAGCAAGCAUAGCGGGUAUAUUGAAGAUGGAUGUGUAGAAGAGAGUCUUAUUUCCACCUGUCAUAUAGACUAAUUCUGUUUGAAGGCUGAUCCAAUACAAAAUUCCCACAGUGGCCAGUUCAUUGUCUAACUGUACAGUUAGAUCUGUAAAGGGUACAAAUGUCCAGUUUGACUGAAGGAUUUCAUAUAUCAGUAGAAAGCAACCACUUCUGAUGUUUAUGGUGUCCACUGUUGAAGCUGUGUCAGAAUUGUAUCAGUAUAAACAAUAGGCUUUUGACCUAGCUCUAAGAUGUUUAUUUUUGUCACAUGCCAAGAAAGCUUUGAUCUGGUUUAAAGUGAGAAAGUAGGAAGAAAAAAAAAAAAGAGCAGUCUACCACUUCUCUGGACCCAGUUGUCUCCUGGUGUAGUUGCAAAACUCACUUACAGGGUUACUUUCUUUUUCUUUUUCUUUCUUUCUUUUUUAUUUUUUAUCUUUUCUUUUCUUUUCUUUUUUAAUUAGGUACUUUGUUCAUUCACAUCUCCAGUGCUAUCCCAAAAGUCCCCCACACCCUCCCCCUCAGGGUUACUUUCUGAGCUCUGUGUUCCUUGUUAAACAAAUAUAUGCUUCAAUUUCAUUCAGAGAUAGCUGUUUAACCGUAUUUCACGUGGUAUGUGGUGGAGGUCAGGGAGGUCUCUUUCCACCAUGUGGGCCCUGGGGCAGGCUUGAUGCUGGUUACCUUUACCUUCUCAGUCAUCUUGCUAAAAGUGGCUUUUAAGGCUUAUUUUUACAGAUGCUGAUAAUUUGAUUCUCUGAGUUGUCAUAAACCAGACAUAAAUAAGUAGCCAAUUCAUUUUCUGUAUAUGACUUGUCUAGAUUUAUAUUGUUGAGUUGUUUGAAUAUGCUUAAACCCUAAUAUCACUGUCAAUAUAUCCAUCAGUAGAAAACCAAGUUGUCCCUUUCAUUUUUUAUAUUUUGCUGAUAUGACAGGCUUGUUUUCUUAAUAUAAAAUAAAGACAUAAAACAGC